rnacentral:tRNA from 1 species
GUCCAGGGAUAGGAACCCUAGUGGACAUGACAUCUGCCCGGUAAACGGAACACUGUGGGUUCGAUUCCCAUCCCUGGACA